AUGGGGAGGGCGCCCCGCGGCAGCCGCGCCCCGCUCCUCGACCACGGGGAGACGGCGAGGGUUCCCUCGGACCUCGAGGAGGGCAGCAACGUCCAGGCGGCGAAUGUGGGGUUCUGCCGGGUCAUCAAAUUGGCAAAGCCCGACGCGUGGAAGCUCAUCUUUGCCACCACCGCGCUCAUCAUCGCCUCCCUCAGUAACCUCCUCGUUCCCAAAUAUGGCGGCAAGAUAAUCGAUAUUGUGUCAAGAGAUGUUCGGCUGCCAGAAGAUAGGGCUCAAGCCCUGGCGGAUGUGAAUGGCACCAUAUUGUACAUUGUGCUAAUAGUUGUAACCGGGUCAGCUUGCACAGCUCUUCGGGCAUGGGUGUUCAAUUCUGCUAGCGAGAGAGUUGUGGCUCGACUCAGACAUGACUUGUUCAGUCAUCUCAUAAACCAGGAGAUAGCAUUUUUUGAUGUGACCAGAACAGGGGAGCUCUUAAGCAGGCUUUCUGAAGACACCCAAAUCAUAAAGAAUGCCGCUACGACAAACCUUUCGGAAGCGCUGCGCAAUCUGACUACCACGGCUAUUGGUCUUGGCUUCAUGUUCUCAACUUCAUGGAAGCUAACAUUGUUGUCACUUGCAAUUGUUCCGGUGAUAUCGGCUGUCGUGCGUAAAUUCGGGCGUUUUCUUCGUGAGCUUUCACAUCAGACACAAGCUGCAGCUGCUGUUGCUUCAUCCAUAGCUGAGGAAUCCUUUGGUGCCAUCCGCACGGUAAGAGCCUUUGCUCAGGAGCCUCAUGAGAUUUCACGAUAUAGCGGAAAAGUAAAUGAGACACUGAAACUUGGUCUCAAGCAAGCUAAAGUUGUUGGCCUAUUUUCCGGAGGGCUUAAUGCUGCAUCAACCCUGUCGGUUGUUAUUGUUGUUAUUUAUGGAGCUAAAUUAACCAUCAAUGGUUACAUGACAACUGGUGCUCUUACGUCAUUCAUCUUAUACAGCCUUACAGUUGGUUCGUCAGUCUCUGCCUUGUCAGGAUUAUACACAACUGUAAUGAAAGCAUCAGGUUCAAGCCGUAGAGUUUUUCAACUUCUUGACCGUAUUUCCUCGAUGAAAAACUCUGGGGACAAAUGUCCAAAAAAUGAAAAUGAUGGGGAGGUUGAGUUAGACGAUGUCUGGUUUGCAUAUCCUUCUCGUCGUUCUCAUCUGAUUCUUAAGGGAAUCACAUUGAAGCUAGCACCAGGCUCAAAGGUUGCACUUGUUGGGCCAAGUGGUGGUGGAAAAACUACAAUAGCAAAUUUGAUCGAAAGGUUUUACGACCCUAUAAAGGGAAGGAUCUUGCUAAAUGGAGUGCCUCUGGUAGAAAUUUCACAUCAGUAUCUCCAUCAAAUGGUGAGCAUAGUUAGCCAGGAGCCUACACUCUUCAACCGCUCCAUUGAAGAGAACAUUGCAUAUGGAUUGGAGGGCAAAGCGAGCUCCGCCGACGUGGAGAACGCAGCUAAAAUGGCGAACGCGCAUGACUUCAUAUGCGGCUUCCCGGACCAGUACAAGACGAUAGUCGGAGAGCGCGGCAUCAGGCUAUCCGGCGGGCAGAAGCAGCGGGUCGCCAUCGCGAGAGCUCUGCUGAUGAACCCGCGGGUGCUCCUCCUGGACGAAGCCACCAGCGCCCUGGACGCCGAGAGCGAGCACCUUGUCCAGGAUGCAAUGGACUCGUUGAUGAGAGGGAGGACGGUUCUCGUGAUAGCUCACCGGCUCUCCACCGUGAAGACCGCCGACACCGUCGCCGUCAUCUCCGAGGGGCAGAUCGUGGAGAGCGGCACGCACGACGAGCUCCUCGGCCGCGACGGCAUCUACACGGCCCUGGUGAAGAGGCAGCUGCAGUUGCCCAAGUUUGAAGGGACCGCCAACGGGACAGACGAAGUUGAACCUGUUGAUGGCCACUAG
rnacentral:rRNA from 1 species